CGACUUAGAGCCUACGUGCGGAAAAAGGAGCCCAUCACCAAGAUACCGGAAUUUUGCCGAAAAGACACUUGUAUUCCAGUCAGAUCUCACAGUGCCCAUGUGCGGUCAUUACACGACACUGGCAGAAAUUGCUAAAACAAUUAGCAGAUUGCUAUAAAAAAAAAAACUGUUGUUUUAUAUUUUUAACGGGAAUUUUUGUAACCCUUUCUCUUAUUAUUGGAACAAUAUUUCUAUUGGUAUUUCCUACUACUUCUGUUCGUUCAAAGCGUGUUUUAUCCUUGCCCCUUCUGUUAUUUACUAGUCCGGUACAAAUUAUAUCUCCGGUAUUUAGAUCUAUAUUCUCUCCAGGCUUUUGCCUAUUUAUUUUAUCUUGAUUCAUCGUUUCUGACAGAUAGUUAUAUAAGACUGAACUUCUGUCUUUAUGUUCUCUUAAAAGUUGUUGAGUGUAAUUGCAUUCUUUAUUUGUAUCAAAAGUACUUUUAGUUUUGGUAUGUCCAAAAGUUACUUCAAAAGGUGAUAAAUCGAAAAGGUAAUAACAGAUGCGGCGGCUUGUGUUGAUAUUUAGCAAUUCUAUAGAUUUUAGUUAUAGUGGAAUGAAAUCUUUUUACUAUUCCCAUUGAAUUAAGAUUAUUCGGUGUCCCUAUGUGUAGCUGUAUCUUAUAAAACAUUAUAGCUUUCUUCAUUAAAUUAUUAUUAAAUUCUGUUCCUGGAUCACAACUUAUCCUUUCAGGUACUUAUUCUUUACUCUAUUUUACUUACUCAGGUUAAAUAUUUUUCAUAUUAUGGAGCUCGAAUUAUCUCUGUUGUGGAUCUAUUUUUAAUUUCAAUUGCUAGUGCUAACUGCGAAAAAGAAUCAAUAAGGGUUAAGUAUGAGAUUCCUUCUAUAGAAAGUAUGUCUAUAUAAAUUUCUUUGAAAGGUUUAGUUGGGGUUUGCUUUAAUUGCAGUUUAGGUUCAAUGGGAUUCCUAUCAUAUUUCAUUUUUUUACAUAUUCCUAUUUUGAUACUGGGUCAUAUACUUAAAAAGACUUAUUUUCUCUUAAUGAACAUAUUAUUUUAUUUCUAUUUAAAUACAACAAAACCUUUUAUGUGCUUGCCAUAGUGAGAAGAGAAAUGACAUAAGAAACAAUGGUAACUUCACUUAGAAAAAUAUAAAUGUAUACCAAUGUAAACAUACUAAUAUUCUAACAAUUUCACUAGCAUUAAUAAUUUGGGAUAUUAAGUUUUGCAUAUGAGCCAAUAAUAAUUUCUUUUUAAUUGAUUAUAUGUUUCCGAUAUUCCACGA